UACGUAGGGUGCGAGCGUUAAUCGGAAUUACUGGGCGUAAAGCGUGCGCAGGCGGCGCGUUAAGACAGGUGUGAAAUCCCCGGGCUUAACCUGGGAAUUGCGUUGGAGACUGCAAGGCUGGAGUCUGGCAGAGGGGGGUAGAAUUCCACGUGUAGCAGUGAAAUGCGUAGAGAUGUGGAGGAACACCGAUGGCGAAGGCAGCCCCCUGGGUCAAGACUGACGCUCAUGCACGAAAGCGUGGGGAGCAAACAGG
rnacentral:rRNA from 1 species